rnacentral:rRNA from 1 species
CCUACGGGAGGCAGCAGUGGGGGAUAUUGCACAAUGGGGGGAACCCUGAUGCAGCGACGCCGCGUGGGUGAAGAAGCGCCUCGGCGCGUAAAGCCCUGUCAGCAGGGAAGAAAAUGACGGUACCUGCAGAAGAAGCCCCGGCUAACUACGUGCCAGCAGCCGCGGUAAUACGUAGGGGGCAGGCGUUAUCCGGAUUUACUGGGGGUAAAGGGGGCGCAGGCGGCGAUGCAAGCCAGGAGUGAAAGCCCGGGGCCCAACCCCGGGACUGCUCUUGGAACUGCGUGGCUGGAGUGCUGGAGGGGCAGGCGGAAUUCCGGGUGUAGCGGUGAAAUGCGUAGAUAGCAGGAGGAACACCGGUGGCGAAGGCGGACUGCUGGACUGCAACUGACGUUGAGGCCCGAAAGCGUGGGGAGCAAACAGGAUUAGAUACCCUAGUAGUC